UACGGGAGGCAGCAGUGGGGAAUAUUGCACAAUGGGGGAAACCCUGAUGCAGCGACGCCGCGUGAAGGAUGAAGUAUUUCGGUAUGUAAACUUCUAUCAGCAGGGAAGAAAAUGACGUAC
rnacentral:rRNA from 1 species